rnacentral:rRNA from 1 species
AACGAACGCUGGCGGCAGGCUUAACACAUGCAAGUCGAGCGGGGGAAGGUAGCUUGCUACCGGACCUAGCGGCGGACGGGUGAGUAAUGCUUAGGAAUCUGCCCAUUAGUGGGGGACAACAUCUCGAAAGGGAUGCUAAUACCGCAUACGUCCUACAGGAGAAAGCAGGGGAUCUUCGGACCUUGCGCUAAUAGAUGAGCCUAAGUCGGAUUAGCUAGUUGGUGGGGUAAAGGCCUACCAAGGCGACGAUCUGUAGCGGGUCUGAGAGGAUGAUCCGCCACCAUGGGACUGAGACACGGCCCAGACUCCUACGGGAGGCAGCAGUGGGGAAUAUUGGACAAUGGGGGGAACCCUGAUCCAGCCAAGCCGCGUGUGUGAAGAAGGCCUUAUGGUUGUAAAGCACUUUAAGCGAGGAGGAGGCUACUCUAGUUAAUACCUAGGGAUAGUGGACGUUACUCGCAGAAUAAGCACCGGCUAACUCUGUGCCAGCCGCCGCCGUAA